rnacentral:rRNA from 1 species
AGAGUUUGAUCCUGGCUCAGGAUGAACGCUAGCUACAGGCUUAACACAUGCAAGGUCGAGGGGCAGCAUUGGGGUAGCAAUACUCAGAUGGCGACCGGCGCACGGGUGAAGUAACACGUAUCCAACCUGCCGCUUACUCGGGGAUAGCCUUUACGAAAAGAAAGAUUAAUACCCGAUGGUAUAAAGAGUUCGCAUGUUCUCUUUAUUAAAGAAUUUCGGUAAGCGAUGGGGAUGCGUUCCAUUAGAUAGUUGGCGGGGUAACGGCCCACCAAGUCUACGAUGGAUAGGGGUUCUGAGAGGAAGGUCCCCCACAUUGGAACUGAGACACGGUCCAAACUCCUACGGGAGGCAGCAGUGAGGAAUAUUGGUCAAUGGACGAGAGUCUGAACCAGCCAAGUUAAGCGUGAAGGAUGACUGCCCUAUGGGUUGUAAACUUCUUUUAUAAGGGAAUAAAGUGAGGGACGUGUCCCUUUUUGUAUGUACCUUAUGAAUAAGGAUCGGCUAACUCCGUGCCAGCCGCAGC